rnacentral:tRNA from 1 species
GGAGAGGUGCAAGAGUGGUUGAAUUGGCACGCCUGGAACGCGUGUAUGGCCGCAAGGUCAUCCAGGGUUCGAAUCCCUGUCUCUCCGCCA